GGGGCGGGGCGGACACGGGCCGCGCGCUUCCUUUGUGCGGCGAGCCCCGCCUCGCGCCCUCCGGAAGGCGGGUUAGGGACGCCCGGGGCUCAGCUUAGGGAGGCGGGCGCCACGCCACGAGGAGGCUGCCCUGAUAGCCGGUGCAAGUGCUCCUUGGCGGGGCGGCCCGCGACUCCCGCCUUGGACCGUUCACUCCCUGAGGGGCCUGGGGGUCAGUCAGAAGACUAACGACCACCAGUCACCGAGAGCUCAGUUCGUGCCAAACCCUGCUCGCGCUGUCCCCGACUUAUUGUUCACAACGACCCUACAAGUCAUUCUCCUUCCCACUGGGAACCGAGGAUCAGAGGGAAGUCAUGGCCCGAGUGCCCCGGUCACACCUCCGUGAGCGGCCUCGGGCUCGCGGUUGAGGCUGAUUGAGGAAGUGGGUUCAGGCGGCCCGCCGUGCCUGGCACACGGUCAGAGUCCCCUGACAGGACUUUCCCCUUUCUCUGAGAUGACAAUCAGGCCGCUUUGCUUUGCACUGCCCUCAGAGAAGCAGUGUGCCCAGAAGUCAAGUGUGAGCUCUUGAGUCAAAAUGCUUGGAUUUGAAUUCCAACUCUGCUGCUUACCAGCUGUGUGACAUGGGGUGAGUGAGUUACCUGACCUCUCUGUACCUCUAUGUCAUCAUCUUUAAAAUGGAGCCCACAGCAACCAGGGAAAUAGUCUAACAGAAGCCUAGGAUGAAGAAUUUCGGGAAAGAAGAAACGUCCAGCAAGGCCAAGUCCCUUUGUGUGUCAGUCUGCUUUCUCUCUCACACAUACGUGCACACAGGCUCGUACACACAAAGAUGUUAAGCAAAAUAUAAAGCCCCUCCACUGAUAGCUGAUGAUUGUGGAUUUUUCUCCUAACAUAAAAAGAGAUUCUUAGUCAUCUAGAUUUGGUGCUACAGUGGAUAGCUGAAAUGACCUUCAUCAAAAUCGUUGGGGAUUUUAGCAGAUGACAGUCCCACCUGUAUGCUUUGGUUUUUAUUGGAUUCCCUAAGUAAAAGUGUGCUUGCAGUUUGGAGGCUGCUUUGGGAGGGAAAUAGGGUACCCAAGAAUCCUGGAAUCAGCAACACUGCAUUGUCCAGCCUAUCACAGACAGAAAUCACUGCCCCCUGCACAAAACGCUCUCUGUGUUCAAACAAAGCAGCUGUGUGGCCUUCCAGCAGAGUUCUCGCUCCUCAGCUGAGACCUGAGGCGGGCUGAGGAUGCAGAACAAAGACCUGGCAUCUGGAGGCCCAACUGGGUGAAAGGGCCCUGGCUUUUCAACAACCCGACAGUUCCCUUUUAUCACAGCAUAUCCCUCCCAGUCAGCAACUUUCUCCUCACCUUUGGGCCUGAGUGUGCACCCAAAGCCUGGAGUUUAUCCACUAGAAUGAGGACUCCAAGAACCAAGUCUCCUAUCUGGGGCUGUGGCCCACUCCCUUAGGACUCGGCUUCCCUGAAGGCCAGGCCCAAGGGACCCCUGCUGCCUGCCUCUCUUCUGCCCUCCAUUGCUCAGUCCUCAUGUCAGUGAGAAGGGCAAGCCAGGCCCUUCUCCUUCCCCUCCAAAGCCCAACCUCUUAGGCUCUGUUCUCCGCCCCUUACUCCCCUCCCCCACCUGCUCCCCCACCCCUAUUCUCGGCAUAAGGGACCUUUUCUAUUUGCAGAGCCUGAAGAAGCCGGUUGCCAAGGUGACAGGAGCAGGAACAGCAGGGAGCUUGCCAUGGGGGAGGGGCUUUGCCCCCAAACAGCUGUCAGUGGGAGCAGUCCCAGCUGGGACUGGAGGGUCUGCCUGCUCUGGGAGGAAACAGCCCCCAGGAGAACACAUUCCUCACUGCCAUACCCCCUCCUACUGGCCCACUGCAAGUCUCCACUGGUUACUUUCCCUGGGGGCAGCCAGCCAGCCAGCUCAAAAAAUGCUCCAAUAACAAACAAAAAAUGUGUGCGCGCUCGCUUGCUUUCUCUCUCCCAGACACACACACACACACACACACACUUGCUUUCACACACACACACACACACACACACACACACACACGCUCAAGCACGCUCUUCUCUCCUGCUCUCAGAUCCCUUGGUUCAUUGACAGUGGGUUGGCUGGGCAGGAGGCCAGAAGUCACCUCUGCCCAGGGAACUGUAUAGCCCAAGACAGGUGCUGCUCCUGGCUGCCGUGCACUAGGUCCUAAGAAUGAUUUCAGUCUUUUUGUCCAGAGGCCCUGAGAGGACCUUCCCCUACUAAAACUCCCCAGCUGCCUUCCAUAUGGGAGGUGGGAGUGGGGCAGCGCCAUCUCUGGGCUUACAGAGAGGAAGGGGUGGGAGAGAGGAAGAAUGAACAGGAUGGUGGGAGGCAGGAACAAUGCAGGCCCACUGCUUUGUGUCUCUGGGGAGAGGUUCUUUGUGGAGCUGCAGCUCACAGCUGCUCCAUAGAAAGUUCUGUGGAGCCACUGGUCUCUGUACUGCAUUCUAGCCAGGCACUGUUAGCCUUAGGCCCUCGGGCCUCAAGCCUGUCACCUGCUGGUGUUUACCUUUACAUGGGGUCUCCACCAGACUCUGCAAACCCUCAAUAGGCUUAGACCCCCCAGAUACUUUCAGCUUUGGGUCAGAAACAGGAAAGGCUGAGGAGGCCCCAGAUUACUGUAAGAACUGAGAGGGACGAUCUGGCUUGAGAUGAAGAACAGUGUUUGACUCAGCCAGCUAUGGCCCCCAGUCCUGCCACUUACUACUUAGGUGACUUUGAGUGCGUGACGGAUGUGGUAAGCUCCUGGAGAACCUCUCUGAGCUUCAGUUUGCUCAUCUGUAAAAUGGAUAAAGACAGCUACCGGACAGGGAUCUUUCCAGGGUUUAAAGAAGCGUGAUGCAUACAAUGCAGGGCACGUUAUCUAGCACACGACGGACGUCCUGUGAGUGCUGGUCCCGUUUCUGUCCAGUUUUCUUGAGAACUGAGUUGCCUAGCAGCCUUAGGAGGAACCCAAGAACUAGUCUUUCUUUUGAACAGUGUUAGAACUUGGGGGGCUGGCUUAGAUUUAGAGAGAGGUUACAUUUCGGCCUGGGCUGGAAGGGGGUUCUCAGGAAGGCCUGAGACGCAGAUGGUCCGCCAGGGCAUGCGGAUUGAAUGAGAAACUAGAAGAAGUGCUCAUCUGGGGUCUCAGCUGUAGUCCAAGCUGCUUUCAACGCAUUGAAAGAGCCCCCAGUCUACCCUUCUGAGCCUCACUUUCUUUUUCCAUAAAAGGAAGAGGCUGGGCCACUUUCUGGAGAAAGCCAUGCCAGACAGUGAGAAACAUCUGAAGCCACAGGGCCGUGAGGCCUCCGUGGGGAGGUGCCUUUCUUGGCUCAGCGGUGACCACUGGAAUGCAGCGACUGACCCUUUGCCCCUGGGUGACUUCUGAAGCCUCAAGAAGGUGAAUGAGGGAUUUUGACCCCGUUUCCUCCUAACUCAGUGCCAUGUGCGCUGCUUUGCUUUUCUCUGCCUGGGAACCUUCCCCACUCUGUCUGUCAGGUCACAUGCUCGUGCCGCAAGGCUCAUGUGCCAUGUCCUCUGAAGGACGGCAUCUCUGACCCAUUCUGCCUGACAGGCAGCUGACCAUCUGUGCCCACACUGUACCUGGUACUUAGUCCUAAAAUAGAAUUUAUGAAGUGGAAUGGAUUUGCUUCUAUAUCUGGUUCCCUUCUUUUGACUGCACACUCUAGGGAAAAAUAAAAAUCCUAUCUUAUUUUGACAAAGAUGUAUUGAGAUAUAUUCUUGAUGUAUUUUCUCAAGAAAAAACCCCACAGAUUAGAUUGGAUGGUAAAAUGGUUUGAGAGAGGACUGAGGUUAGUGGUUGUCUCAGGGAUGCGAUCAGCGUGACCCUCUCUUUAAUGCAAAGCCAUGUGCUUCGCCACUCUAUUUAUUUCUAUGGUAAAACAGGGUGGUCUUGUUACCUAGAUCGAUAGGCCUGGCUUCUUGGGCUCUUGGCAGAUUUUCCCAUUAAAGAUUGCCUACAAUGGGCAGCACAGGGAGAGUUUUAGUAGGCAGGGAAAGGGGUCUAGCAGGGCAUGUGGAUUCAUCGGACCUGCCUCACAAGCAAGCUCCUAGAUUUAUUCUCAAGUGUUACCCUCACUAGCAAGCCUUUCCUAGCUCCUCUCCUCAAGCCACAUAGCUCUUCUGUUCUGACAGUGUUCAGAGCUUAGAUCUAUUAUGGCAUAUGCACUGCACUCUCUGUCUCCCCAGCUACACUGUGGAGGGCAGGACCUGAGUCUCAUUUAUCUCUGCACACCUAGAAUUGGCAACAUGAUUGGCAAAUACUAAUCAACAAAUGCUUGCUGAAUGAUGAGAAAAAUAAACUUCCUACAUUCCCAUCUCUCUGUCUGGUUCUUACAUGCUUCUGGCUAGCCCCUGGCCUUUUUGCUGAGUCUUGGAGAAUUUCAAAAUAGUUCAACUGCCUGCCUCCAGCCACUCCAGGUUGUGCCCACAGCUCCACCGCUGUGGCUGCGUACCCUGAUUCAUCGCUGUGCCUACAGUGCAGAAGGACUCCUUUAUUCCAACUAACAUGGCUGCCCUGCGUAAAGUUAGACCAGAAGCAUGGCACAGAGCCAGGAGCUGAUGGACAUUUUGAGAUAGGGAGGGAGGAGAGAGAGAUCCAUGGCUGGUAUCUUUGCAAAUCCAUGGGAAAAAGGAAAGUGUGAAAGUCUCCUCCUGACUCACGGCCCUGAGUUUUCUGGGAAAGGAUUCCUGCUUCCUGAAGACCUUACCUGGUGCAAUGAGGGGGUGGGCAGCCACAGCAGGAACCGUCCGGCUGAGCCCAGCCCGGCCUUCCAUGCUCCCUGG
rnacentral:lncRNA from 1 species